rnacentral:lncRNA from 1 species
CCCUAAACACCGAGAAUGAAAUCCCUAAACCCCAAAGUCACAUAUCAUUUAACAUCAUAUCUCUUCUUCUCUACUACUUUAUGCUCUUUCUCCAACUUAAACUCUAAAACCCUAAAACUCCAAAUAAUUUUUUUUUAAAUUAACACAAAUACAUAUUAUAUAAAACAACAUUUGUUACACAUACAUUAGGAUGGUAAAAAAACAAUAUUUCUUUAAACAUACGUUACAAUAGAGAAAUACAACAUCAGAGACAUAUAUUACAUCACUCUAAAUCAUUUUCGUUCUCAUCAAUAUUACAUCACUCUAAAUCGUUUUCGUUCUCAUCACUAUCAUUACAAUCAUCAUCGUCGCUUCUCUCGAACUCGUCUUCACGUGCUUCAUCUGUCGAAUCUUUGGGAAUAUCUUCAUAUUGAAAGUUUUGCGGGUCGAUCAAAAGGAUUUCAUCAGUUGGUUGUUCUGGUUCCUCAACUUCAUUGAU